rnacentral:rRNA from 1 species
UGCAAGUCGAGCGCUUCCUUCGGGAAGAGCGGCGGACGGGUUAGUAACGCGUGGGAACGUGCCCUUCUCUAAGGAAUAGCCACUGGAAACGGUGAGUAAUACCUUAUACGCCCUUCGGGGGAAAGAUUUAUCGGAGAAGGAUCGGCCCGCGUUAGAUUAGAUAGUUGGUGGGGUAACGGCCUACCAAGUCUACGAUCUAUAGCUGGUUUUAGAGGAUGAUCAGCAACACUGGGACUGAGACACGGCCCAGACUCCUAUGGGAGGCAGCAGAGGGGAAUCUUGGACAAUGGGCGCAAGCCUGAUCCAGCCAUGCCGCGUGAGUGAUGAAGGCCCUAGGGUCGUAAAGCUCUUUCGCCUGUGAAGAUAAUGACGGUAGCAGGUAAAGAAACCCCGGCUAACUCCGUGCCAGCAGCCGCGGUAAUACGGAGGGGGUUAGCGUUGUUCGGAAUUACUGGGCGUAAAGCGCACGUAGGCGGAUUAGUCAGUCAGAGGUGAAAUCCCAGGGCUCAACCCUGGAACUGCCUUUGAUACUGCUAGUCUUGAGUUCGAGAGAGGUAAGUGGAAUUCCGAGUGUAGAGGUGAAAUUCGUAGAUAUUCGGAGGAACACCAGUGGCGAAGGCGGCUUACUGGCUCGAUACUGACGCUGAGGUGCGAAAGUGUGGGGAGCAAACAGGAUUAGAUACCCUGGUAGUCCACACCGUAAACGAUGAAUGCCAGUCGUCGGGUAGCAUGCUAUUCGGUGACACACCUAACGGAUUAAGCAUUCCGCCUGGAGAGUACGGUCGCAAGAUUAAAACUCAAAGGAAUUGACGGGG